AUGGUGUUCCCAGGCAGGGGAAGUAUCCGUGUCGAUGCUGACAGUGUUCAAAGGGUAUUUGAUCUUCCUAACAGGGGUCUAAAAGUCAGUUAUAAAAUUGACAAGGAUACAACUAGGAGAUUCAGAGAGACUUUCAACAUAACUGGAAGUUCUCAUCCCCAGAUCAUUACAUGGACCAAGAUGAUUAAGGAUAUGGGGGGAAGAACGGAUGACACAUUCUUUAUGGCUUGGCUUGCGGUUGCAUUCAGCACUUUCCUAGCACCAACCACGGCCCUGAGGCUGAGCCCAAAGUGCUACGGACUCAUGCUAGAUCAUGAAAACCUCAAGAACUUCAACAUCUGCCUUUUUGUAGCAGAACACAUCAAUGAAGCUUUCCGGAACAUGGACCAGGCGAAGCAAACUGUUUGA
rnacentral:rRNA from 1 species